rnacentral:lncRNA from 1 species
CAUCGAACUGCUAAUAGAUUUAUGGCUAAAUAUAUAAAACAAAAACCUCCGAUAAUUAAAUACCCGCUCUUUAAUUUUCUUUUCUAACUUUCAAAAACCUAUAUUUUAUCCUCUCAAAAGUUUAAAUUUAUGUAUUUAGCUCCACUCCAUUAGGAUUCUGUCCUUAUUCCCUUUUUUUCUUAUAAUUUACACGAAAAAUAUCCUAAAAGUGACAUAUAUAUAUAUAUAUAUAGAGAGAGAGAGAGAGAGAGAGAGAGAGAGAGAGUCCGGCUGGGAUACUAUCGAUAGUACCAAGGACUUAGUGCUAUCGAGUUUUCCAUUAACACCAUAACCUUCUAAAAAUAUUUCUAAAAUUGUAAAUAGAUAAAACGUGAGUAUUUGAAAUUAAGUCAAAAGAAAAAUAAA